rnacentral:lncRNA from 1 species
UUAAAAAACCAUCUGAUUGUUUCUCUCUGAGGCAUUUCGUCGAACACAUGGGAGACAUGAAACAACCACGCCUCAACGACGGAUACGACGAGCCACAACCACCACACCUCAACGGCGGUUACGACGGGCCACCACAACCACACCUCAACCGCGGAUUCGACGGGCCACCACAACCACACCUCAACCGGGGAUACGACGGGCCACCACCACCACACCUCAACGGCGGAUACUACGGUCCACAACAACCACACCUCAACGGCGGAUACUACGGGCCACCGAUUCCUCCGCCGCCGCCUAAACCCAAGCGCCGAUACAAAGCCCCCGGAUGCUGCUGCUUGAGCUGCAUGUGCAGCUGCUUCGGAAGCUGCCUACGCUGCUGCGGCUGCUGCAUCCUCA